rnacentral:tRNA from 2 species
GUUGCGGUGCCGAGUGGUUAAGGCGUUGGACUAGAAAUCCAAUGGGAUCUUCCCGCGCAGGUUCGAAUCCUGCUCGCAACG